rnacentral:rRNA from 1 species
UACAACAUAGCAUUAAUGCACAUGAUCCCAUUAGAACUCCGCUUAGGCUAGAGUAGUAUUGGGAUGGGUGACCACUUGGGAAUUCCUAGUGUUUUAC